GACGAACGCUGGCGGCGUGCUUAACACAUGCAAGUCGAACGGUAACGGCAGAGCUUGCUCUGCCACAUCAGUGGCGAACGGGUGAGUAACACGUGAGUAACCUGCCCCUCACUUCGGGAUAACCUCGGGAAAUCGUGGCUAAUACCGGAUAUGAGACCUGACUGCAUGGUCGGUUCUGGAAAGUUUUGUCGGUGGGGGAUGGACUCGCGGCCUAUCAGCUUGUUGGUGGGGUAACGGCCCACCAAGGCGACGACGGGUAGCCGGCCUGAGAGGGCGAACGGCCACACUGGGACUGAGAUACGGCCCAGACUCCUACGGGAGGCAGCAGUGGGGAAUAUUGCACAAUGGGCGAAAGCCUGAUGCAGCGACGCCGCGUGGGGGAUGAAGGCCUUCGGGUUGUAAACCCCUUUCAGCAGGGAAGAAGCGAAAGUGACGGUAGAUGGAGAAGAAGCGCCGGCUAACUACGUG
rnacentral:rRNA from 1 species